AAGGCUAUACUUUCAGGGAUCAUUUCUAUAGUUCAUCACCAGGGAAGUUCUCUGAACAUGUAGAACACCGGGACAAGAAAUAGAUCAGAGGAGAACUGA
rnacentral:snoRNA from 1 species